GGGGUUGUGGCUCAGUGGUAGAGUGCUCGCCUCCCAUGUGUGAAGCCCUGGGUUCAAUCCUCAGCACCACA
rnacentral:tRNA from 1 species